GUUAAAAAGCUCGUAGUCGGAUUUCGGGGCCUGCCGAGCGGUCUGCCGAUGGGUAUGCACUGUUCGGCGCGUCCUUCUUUCCGGAGACUAAUUCUACUCUUAACUGAGCGGAAUUGGGAGACGGAUCGUUUACUUUGAAAAAAUCAGAGUGUUUCAAGCAGGCAGCUCGCUCUUGCAUGGAUUAGCAUGGGAUAAUGAAAUAGGACUCUGGUGCUAUUUUGUUGGUUUCGAACACCGGAGUAAUGAUUAACAGGGACAGUCAGGGGCACUCGUAUUCCGUCGAGAGAGGUGAAAUUCUCAGACCAAUGGAAGACGAACCACUGCGAAAGCAUUUGCCAGGGAUGUUUUCACUGAUCAAGAACGAAAGUUAGGGGAUCGAAGACGAUCAGAUACCGUCGUAGUCUUAACCAUAAACCAUGCCGACUAGGGAUUGGAGGGUGUUCUAUUCGACCCCUUCAGCACCUUACGGGAAACUAAAGUCUUUGGGUUCCGGGGGGAGUAUGGUCGCAAGGCUGAAACUUAAAGGAAUUGACGGAAGGGCACCACCAGGAGUGGAGCCUGCGGCUUAAUUUGACUCAACACGGGGAAACUUACCAGGUCCAGACAUUGUUAGGAUUGACAGAUUGAGAGCUCUUUCUUGAUUCGAUGGGUGGUGGUGCAUGGCCGUUCUUAGUUGGUGGAGUGAUUUGUCUGGUUAAUUCCGUUAA
rnacentral:rRNA from 1 species